GACGAACGCUGGCGGCGUGCCUAAUACAUGCAAGCUGAGCGCUGAAGGUUGGUACUUGUACCAACUGGAUGAGCAGCGAACGGGUGAGUAACGCGUGGGGAAUCUGCCUUUGAGCGGGGGACAACAUUUGGAAACGAAUGCUAAUACCGCAUAAAAACUUUAAACACAAGUUUUAAGUUUGAAAGAUGCAAUUGCAUCACUCAAAGAUGAUCCCGCGUUGUAUUAGCUAGUUGGUGAGGUAAAGGCUCACCAAGGCGAUGAUACAUAGCCGACCUGAGAGGGUGAUCGGCCACAUUGGGACUGAGACACGGCCCAAACUCCUACGGGAGGCAGCAGUAGGGAAUCUUCGGCAAUGGACGAAAGUCUGACCGAGCAACGCCGCGUGAGUGAAGAAGGGUUUCGGAUCGUAAAACUCUGUUGGUAGAGAAGAACGUUGGUGAGAGUGGAAAGCUCAUCAAGUGACGGUAACUACCCAGAAAGGGACGGCUAACUACGUG
rnacentral:rRNA from 1 species